CCUACGGGAGUCAGCAGUGAGGAAUAUUGGUCAAUGGGCGGGAGCCUGAACCAGCCAAGCCGCGUGAGGGAAGAAGGUACAGCGUAUCGUAAAGCUCUUUUGUCAGGGAACAAAGGCGGGGACUAGUCCCCGGAUGAGGGUAACUGAAGAAAAAGCAUCGGCUAACUCCGUGCAAGCAGCCGCGGUAAUACGGAGGAUGCGAGCGUUAGCCGGAUUUAUUGGGUUUAAAGGGUGCGUAGGCGGCCUUUUAAGUCAGCGGUGAAAGUCUGUGGCUCAACCAUAGAAUUGCCGUUGAAACUGGGGGGCUUGAGUAUGUUGGAGGCAGGCGGAAUGCGUGGUGUAGCGGUGAAAUGCUUAGAUAUCACGCAGAACCCCGAUUGCGAAGGCAGCCUGCCAAGCCAUGACUGACGCUGAUGCACGAAAGCGUGGGGAUCAAACAGGAUUAGAUACCCUUGUAGUC
rnacentral:rRNA from 1 species